UUUGAAAACAGAGAAGUUAAUAUAUAAUCUAAUUUACUUAUAUACAGAGAUUAGCAUGGCCCUGAACAAAGAUGACAUGCAAAUUCAUGAGGUGUUUCAUAUUUUU